rnacentral:rRNA from 1 species
UACGGAGGAUCCAAGCGUUAUCCGGAUUUAUUGGGUUUAAAGGGUGCGUAGGUGGUUUUUUAAGUCAGGGGUGAAAUCCUUCAGCUUAACUGGAGAACUGCCAUUGAUACUGAAUAGCUUGAGUAUAGUUGAGGUAGGCGGAAUUGACAGUGUAGCGGUGAAAUGCUUAGAUAUUGUCAAGAACACCGAUUGCGAAGGCAGCUUACUAAACUAUAACUGACGCUGAGGCACGAAAGCGUGGGUAUCAAACAGG